UAUACCCUGAAGCUGCCAGAUAAAGAUCAAAUGUAAUAAUAUUUGGAAUUUGGAUGGCAACUAUUGUGGCUUUUAAACCACUUGCUAUGUCCAGCUACUUUGCAGUAUGCUGAUAAACUCUUGGAAAGAUGGAUAUGUUUUUAUGGCUUGACUAUAAGCACAUUGUACCCCAUGAAGAUGUACAGUUAUUAUUGGUGUUGUAGGAUUUUGGCAGAAGAAUACAUUUACUACAGGAUGCAUAGUUUAUAGAAUCAUUUUAUUAUGAUUACCCAAAAAGUCAAAUGCAAAGGAAUGCAGGAGAUUAACCACACACUAGGGCCCAAAGAAUCCAGAUGAGGGCCUGGAUCAGCAGUUUCUAGGAGAUUAACCACACACUAGGGCCCAAAGAAUCCAGCUGAGGGCCUGGAUCUCAGCAGUUUCCCACUCAGGUCCAGCUAAAGGCUUAGAGUCCAAGGCAGUGUCCUCCACAAGUCCAGCGAGUGACCUAGAGCCCACGGCAAUGUCUCAUGCUUGUCCAUAUUGAGGAUCUGCACCUGGGAAGGUCCAAAGGCCAGUGGUGGAAGCCAGAAAA
rnacentral:lncRNA from 1 species